rnacentral:rRNA from 1 species
GAAUCUUGCGCAAUGCGCGAAAGCGUGACGCAGCAACGCCGCGUGGGGGAAGAAGGCCUUCGGGUUGUAAACCUCUUUCAGUUGGGACGAAGCUUCUGCGGUGAAUAGCCGUAUGGAGUGACGGUACCUUCACAAGAAGCUCCGGCUAACUACGUGCCAGCAGCCGCGGUAAUACGUAGGGGGCUAGCGUUGUCCGGAAUCAUUGGGCGUAAAGCGCGUGUAGGCGGCUCGGUAAGUCCGCUCUGAAAGUCCAGGGCUCAACCCUGGGAUGCGGGUGGAUACUGCCGAGCUCGAGUCCGGAAGAGGCGAGUGGAAUUCCUGGUGUAGCGGUGAAAUGCGCAGAUAUCAGGAGGAACACCAAUGGCGAAGGCAGCUCGCUGGGACGUGACUGACGCUGAGACGCGAAAGCGUGGGGAGCAAACAG